CAGCCGCCGCGGUAAUACGGAGGGUGCGAGCGUUAAUCGGAAUUACUGGGCGUAAAGCGCAUGCAGGUGGUUUGUUAAGUCAGAUGUGAAAGCCCGGGGCUCAACCUCGGAAUUGCAUUUGAAACUGGCAGGCUAGAGUACUGUAGAGGGGGGUAGAAUUUCAGGUGUAGCGGUGAAAUGCGUAGAGAUCUGAAGGAAUACCGGUGGCGAAGGCGGCCCCCUGGACAGAUACUGACACUCAGAUGCGAAAGCGUGGGGAGCAAACAGGAUUAGAUACCCCUGUAGUCCCUGUCUCUUAUAA
rnacentral:rRNA from 1 species